AUAAUUUUAAUAAUCACACGGAUUUAUGAACUUAACUGCGUAGAAAGCUAACGAGACAUUGGGCCUCGCUACCCUAUCGAAAUGGGCAUAGCAGAUGCGUUUAGCAACUCAAAGUGCGUGACAUAUUUGGGGAUUGAACAUAGUUUGUGCGUCGUAGAUACAUAGCUAGCAUCUAACUGCGCAGUGCUGCUGCUGUUUGGAACAAAGCGACAAUUUCAAUUUGCUGGUACUGCGUUUAAAUGUUAACAUCGAUUUAAUACCAUUUAUAAUUAUCAACACGUCACACUUUAUUGCUUCUUCAAUUUUGAGGUCAACGCUUUGACUCUAAAGUUAUAACUUUGUCAAGCAAACCCCAAUUAGCGAAGAUAAUCCGCAACCAAUGACUGCAAAGUCAAUCGAUAAGGGGUUAGGCUAGCGACCUUCCUUCUUUAACCACUUAUAACCAUGACGUAGUUGGGAGGCAUAUUCGCCAAGAGCAGUUAUCGGAUACACAAAGUGGAAGGAGUAUGAAAUUGUGACUAUUUGUUCUUCUCAUUGCAGGGUUGCACUUUCACGCACAGGUGGUGGAACGUACUCAUGCACCAAAAAGUAUUUAAUUUUAAAUAAAGUUUCUUCAAUUAUUCUGCGGACAGAUUGAAGAUUUAUUUGGCCAGCUUGAAAGCUAAAACGCCAACUCCAAUUGUAUGAAUUGUUUUACUUUGGGUUUUAGUUUGAAUUGCUUCGGGAAAGUUAUUGAUGGCAUUGUAUUGUGCUUCGAUAGAAUUAUAUAUAAUUUUGCAAAAUACAUAAAGUGAAAUAAAUAUAU